rnacentral:lncRNA from 1 species
UGCCUGGCCAUGGAACACUCUAGCGGAGGAGAGCAAAGUCCUCCCCAAACCAAGGCCACAAUAACUAGCACGGUGCUCUGCACAUCAUAUGCACUCAGCACUUGUGAAAUUGAGUUGAAUCAGAAACAAAACGAGGAGCAGAGGUCAAGUCCUGCAAAAGAUAAACCGUGCUAUCUCCGUGACAACAAGCCCAAGUUAGCCUGCUAGAGGAUGAAACACUUUGCGGAAGAGAACCAAAGUUGCCCAGUCCACAAGCCAACUCACUCUCAACAGCAGAGCUGUCUGGUCACCAGCAGCUGACCCCCUUCUCCCAUACACACACAUGAAGAUUGCUAUACCUUAUAAAGGUACGGCAGGUUUUAUAGGUAUAGCAAUUAAUUUAUGGCAGGAGCCUGCCAUAAAUUGCUGACUUGCUCAAUCAUGAGCUAAAUAAGUUUUGGGAUGGCUCAUUACACAGUAACAGCUAACUAACACACCCAGAGCUGACAGGAUGCCAGGAUUAACAACAUGCUGACUACAAGUUAGCUGGCACACUAUAGGGACCGUCUAGGUACUGAAUUCCUUUUCCCCUUAUUAGAAGUUGGGUCCCUUGAAUUAUAAAGAAAUGCAUGUAGACAUGUAUGUGCUUAAAACUCACACAGUAUCACACAACACAGGAGGAAAUAGAUGACAGCCUGACCACUAGGGCAAAGGCCAAAUAGCAAGGUAAGGCAUUUGUCUGGAAUCUAUUCCCUCCAAAUCUAAACUCUGGAGGUCAAGGCUGUGGACAGGACCCACCUCCUGGGACCCCGCUGUCCUCUGAUCUCUGGAGGGGAGAAUGGCCCCACCAAGCAGCAGAUGGGCAGCAGUGGCCUACCUGUGGCCACCUCCUGCUGGCAGCCCCUGCUCUCUCAGGGCACUCUCUCUUCCUUUGGGACUGAGAAGAGAUGUGGGUAGGGAGGGGGAGCUCCCUCCCUCCUGGCAGA